GCUCUUGCAUCGAUGAAGAACGUAGCGAAAUGCGAUACUUGGUGUGAAUUGCAGAAUCCCGUGAACCAUCGAGUCUUUGAACGCAAGUUGCGCCCGAAGCCAUUAGGUUGAGGGCACGCCUGCCUGGGUGUUGCACAUCGUUGCCCCCGUGCCUUGCCCACAU
rnacentral:rRNA from 5 species